rnacentral:ncRNA from 2 species
AGAGUUAAACAGUGCGUGAAAUUGUUGAAAGGGAAACGUUUGACACCAGUCAUGUGGGUGGAAAAUCAGUCUUUUGCAUUGGGGAGUUGUAAGGGUUCGGACCGCAAGGCCGGCUUUUGCUUCAUCUUUGGUGUAAGUGAUGCACUUUUUCAUCUACAGGUCAACAUCAGUUUCUUUUGCUGGACAAAACUCCGAGAGAAGGUAGCAGCUUAGGCUGUGUUAUAGCUCUGGAGCGAUACAGUGAAGGGGACUGAGGUUUUCGCAGCGUGUGCUCUCGGGCAAGGCUGGAUGGGUGCUAUGGGAUCGUUCGGGGUACAAUGCCUGGCAUUUUGCUUCGUGUCUUUUCUAUACUCGCUCAACUCAGCUCUUCCACGCUUAGGAUGUUGACUUAAUGGUUUUAAACGACC